GACACCCACAAACAUGACCGCUGGCGGGCGCAGGGGUUGCUCCUUUUUGCUGGUGUUUUACAUGCUGAUGGCCAACCAGGAAGACAGCCGGUGUGACGGUUCUGCGAUUGGCAGCUUUAAAAACGCAGGUUCCCAGGGAUUAAUUAUUUC